rnacentral:rRNA from 1 species
GAUGAACGCUAGCUACAGGCUUAACACAUGCAAGUCGAGGGGAAACGACAUCGAAAGCUUGCUUUUGAUGGGCGUCGACCGGCGCACGGGUGAGUAACGCGUAUCCAACCUGCCCACCACUUGGGGAUAACCUUGCGAAAGUAAGACUAAUACCCGAUGAUAUCCCUAGAAGACAUCUGAAAGGGAUUAAAGAUUUAUCGGUGAUGGAUGGGGAUGCGUCUGAUUAGCUUGUUGGCGGGGUAACGGCCCACCAAGGCUACGAUCAGUAGGGGUUCUGAGAGGAAGGUCCCCCCACAUUGGAACUGAGACACGGUCCAAAACUCCUACGGGAGGCAGCAGUGAGGAAUAUUGGUCAAUGGGCGAGAGCCUGAACCAGCCAAGUAGCGUGCAGGACGACGGGCCCUAUGGGUUGUAAACUGCUUUUAUAAGGGAAUAAAGUGAGUCUCGUGAGACUUUUUGCAUGUACCUUAUGAAUAAGGACCGGCUAAUUCCGUG